CAUGAGUUGCAAAACUCCCAACCAUUGUGAACCUACCUAUCGUUGCUUCGGCGGGUGGAGGGCAACCUCAGCGGCCGCGCGGCCCACCCCUCUCGGGGGGCAGGCAAGCCCGUCCGAGGACGUCCAAACCUAUAGCAUACAUUGGCCUCUCUGAGUAAGCUUAUAAAAUAAGUCA
rnacentral:misc_RNA from 1 species